rnacentral:rRNA from 1 species
CAGCAGCCGCGGGAAUACGAAGGGGGCUAGCGUUGUUCGGAUUUACUGGGCGUAAAGCGCACGUAGGCGGAUCGAUCAGUCAGGGGUGAAAUCCCAGAGCUCAACUCUGGAACUGCCUUUGAUACUGUCGAUCUGGAGUAUGGAAGAGGUGAGUGGAAUUCCGAGUGUAGAGGUGAAAUUCGUAGAUAUUCGGAGGAACACCAGUGGCGAAGGCGGCUCACUGGUCCAUUACUGACGCUGAGGUGCGAAAGCGUGGGGAGCAAACAGGAUUAGAGACCCCAGUAGUCCCUGUCUCUUAUAC